CAGUGCUGCCUCUUCUACCGAUACCCGUCUAUAUGGUCCUGACUGUCAGGAAGCAUAUGGCGACCAAUUCCCUAAAGAAGAGUAUAAAGAUUGCCUUGAGACCUGAUGCUGACUGGCGUCCUGCAAACCAAACUCCAGAUAAAGAGUCAGAGUGAAGGAUCAACAAAAAACUCGACCACCUUUGGAAAUCCGUACAAGGAUCUCAUCAAAUAAUAUCUUAUAAAACCAGUGUAGUGACAAUGAUAUACCACACCUAACAGCUAUCUGUAUUCCGUAUUACCAUCACAUUAU